CGAACGGGUGAGUAACACGUGGGUGACCUUCCCCAAAGACGGGGAUAACUCUUGGAAACAGGGGCUAAUACCCGAUGUGCUCAGCAGUUCACUCUGUUGAGUAAAGCUAUGGCGCUUUGGGAUGGGCCCGCGGCCCAUCAGCUAGUUGGUAGGGUAAAGGCCUACCAAGGCUAAGACGGGUAGGGGGCGUGAGAGCGCGAUCCCCCACACUGGCACUGAGACACGGGCCAGACUCCUACGGGAGGCAGCAGUGAGGAAUAUUGCGCAAUGGACGAAAGUCUGACGCAGCGACGCCGCGUGGGCGAUGAAGGCCUUCGGGUCGUAAAGCCCUUUUCUGGGGGAAGAGAAAGGACGGUACCCCAGGAAUAAGCCCCGGCUAACUACGUGCCAGCAGCCGCGGUAAAACGUAGGGGGCAAGCGUUAUCCGGAUUUACUGGGCGUAAAGAGCGUUGAGGCGGUUUUGUAAGUUGGGCGUGAAAGCCCUGGGCUUAACUCAGGGAAGCCGUUCAAUACUGCGAAACUUGAGGGCAGCAGAGGGAGGUGGAAUUCCCGGAGUAGCGGUGAAAUGCGUAGAUAUCGGGAGGAACACCAGUGGCGAAGGCGGCCUCCUGGGCUGCUCCUGACGCUGAAGGCGAAAGCUAGGGGAGCGAACGGGAUUAGAAACCCCGGUAGUCCUAGCCGUAAACGAUGGAUGCUAGGUGUGGGGGGUGUAGAUUCCCUCCGUGCCGCAGUUAACGCGUUAAGCAUCCCGCCUGGGGAGUACGGCCGCAAGGCUAAAACUCAAACGAAUUGACGGGGGCCCGCACAAGCAGCGGAGCGUGUGGUUUAAUUCGACGCUACACGAAGAACCUUACCUGGGCUUGACAUACAGGUAGUAGUGAAGUGAAAGCGGAUCGACCCUUCGGGGAGCCUGUACAGGUGCUGCAUGGCUGUCGUCAGCUCGUGCCG
rnacentral:rRNA from 1 species